GCUAUAUUAAAAUUGUUGCAGUUAAAAAGCUCGUAGUUGAACUUCUGCUGCAUUGUUUUUUCUCUUGUAUGAGUUGAUGCAUUGCGGCUUAUUUCGGUCGUGGUUUUCCUCGUCCGGAUUUUUACUUUGAGAAAAUUAGAGUGCUCAAAGCAGGCUUUUGCCUUGAAUAGUUUAGCAUGGAAUAAUGAAGUAGGACUUUGGUUCUAUUUUGUUGGUUUUUGUACCAAAGUAAUGGUUAAUAGGAACAGUUGGGGGCAUUCGUAUUUAACUGUCAGAGGUGAAAUUCUU
rnacentral:rRNA from 1 species